AGUGAACGCUGGCGGUAGGCCUAACACAUGCAAGUCGAACGGUAGCACAGUAAGAGCUUGCUCUUACGGGUGGCGAGUGGCGGACGGGUGAGGAAUACAUCGGAAUCUACUUUUUCGUGGGGGAUAACGUAGGGAAACUUACGCUAAUACCGCAUACGACCUACGGGUGAAAGCAGGGGAUCUUCGGACCUUGCGCGAUUGAAUGAGCCGAUGUCGGAUUAGCUAGUUGGCGGGGUAAAGGCCCACCAAGGCGACGAUCCGUAGCUGGUCUGAGAGGAUGAUCAGCCACACUGGAACUGAGACACGGUCCAGACUCCUACGGGAGGCAGCAGUGGGGAAUAUUGGACAAUGGGCGCAAGCCUGAUCCAGCCAUACCGCGUGGGUGAAGAAGGCCUUCGGGUUGUAAAGCCCUUUUGUUGGGAAAGAAAAGCAGCAGGUUAAUACCCCGCUGUUCUGACGGUACCCAAAGAAUAAGCACCGGCUAACUUCGU
rnacentral:rRNA from 1 species